UCUAAUUCUCACCCUUAUUUUGUGAUAUCUGGUUUGAGAUUUUGGUUUGAGAAAUCAGAAUGGAAGAGCAAGAAGCUCAAAUGGAGAUACAUGUCUAUACAGAACAAGGAAUCACAGCAACAUUUUCACUCUCUCGGACGGACACCGUGAAAACCCUAUUUUCGAUUCUCAUGGAAUCUUUUCCCCCAGCAGCUGAGGAUCAAUCAGGGUUUCAUCUAUUUUUUCAGAAUAUACAACUGAAGCAGAAUAAUCAAGUAAGAGAUGAGAUUCAAAGAAUAAUAUACGAGAGUAAACUGGAGGAGCCGGAUCAAAUAUCAUUACUGUUUGUCCCCUAUCCAAGUUGUGGCAGUGCAAAAUGUAAUAAGGUUGAUUGUCAGUCAGGAAAUACACGUUUCAAGUACUACCGCUACGGAAGAUUGUGGAAAUUGCGCUACUUGUGUAGGACAUGCCGAAAGGAGUUCAAUUUCGACAUGCCACAACCUCCGAGGCCAACCAAGCGGCAAUCGUUGCCCGCCAAGACCCCUUCACCACCCCCAAAGAUGUGCCUACCGCCCCCUCGACCACCCCCGGUGAGUACUUACACUUGUUUCUUGCUAGUAGCGAGUUUUGAUACAUUUGAUUUACAUGCGUAUAGUCUAAGUUAUUGUUGAGGAGCUGUGCUUGAAAGAAUAACAUGUACCAACUUCAAUUUCUGUCUACGGUUUAUUUGCAUAAGGAGGUGAUGAGGUUUCAUCAGCACCUCUUAGCUAUUGCAUUUUGCUUUGUUCAUGUGAUACUUUUGAAGUUGGUUGGUUUUCUUCUUUACAUGUUGUAUGGCAGAUCACUCUUAUAGUACGUCUUAUUAUUAUUUUUCUCGAGCUUCUUUGUAGCUUUGUUUGUUUGUGUGUUUCUUCUAGGUUACUUCUUCUUCUUCUUCAGUCUUGGAUUUGAGUGAUCGAGUACUAGAUCACUGCAAAGCUCUACAUCAGUACAAUGCCCAACUGCAAAUGGAGAAAUCGACUUUGGAAAAGAAGAAUAAGGCUUUGGAACAAGCAUUGACCUCACUUGAGGCCUCUUAUAGGUUUGAGAUCAAUGCAUUGAGGAUGGAGCGAGAUGAUUUCAAGGAGGAGCGCGAUGACACUCUUAGGAAAUUCGAGGCUAUACUACAGAGUUACAGAAUCCAUAGGUGAUGCCUCCAGUACUCUCUUUUUAUUGAUCAUGGCAAAGGAACCCCAGCGGGUGACCAUCUUUCUUUUGUAACAAAGAGGAAAAUAGGUAUUCAAUUUGGAGGAAGAAAAUUUCAGAGGAUGCGCUUCGUGUUAUGCACAUGUUCAGAAGGGUACAUAUGCAUAAAUUCGAUAUCGAGUUUAAAGUUUAGUCAUUGGAGUGCAGAAUUUGAUUGCCGUGUUUUUGCAGUAUCAUGAAUUUGCAAAAAAAUAUCAUGGUCAUAUAUUGAUUCAUAUCUCGCAUACAUUAUGAUACAUAAUGGACUAUUGACCACCAUUUUUGUAUAAUUUUUCACAGCAAGAUACAUAAUUUAUUGCAUAUUGUAUACCUCACAAAAGUCCAUAACACAGCUUAAAUAAAACAAUAAAAGAGCAUAUUAACAAACCUCUUUUUUUUUUCUCUUUUUUCUUGUAAGAAAAUAAAUUUAACCGUGGUACCACACAUAUGGAUCAAAGCA